rnacentral:rRNA from 1 species
GAGGAAUUUUCCGCAAUGGGCGCAAGCCUGACGGAGCGACGCCGCGUGUGGGAAGAAGGCCUUCGGGUCGUAAACCACUGUCGAAGGGGAAGAUAUUGACGGUACCCUUGGAGGAAGCCCCGGCUAACUACGUGCCAGCAGCCGCGGUAGGACGUAGGGGGCGAGCGUUAUUCGGAAUUAUUGGGCGUAAAGCGCUCGUAGGCGGCUUUGCAAGUCCGUGAAGAAAGACCUGGGCUCAACCCAGGGAACGGCACGGAUACUGCAAGGCUUGAGGUAAUCAGAGGGUGAUGGAAUUCCCGGUGUAGCGGUGGAAUGCGUAGAUAUCGGGAGGAACACCAGUGGCGAAGGCGAUCACCUGGGGUUAAUCUGACGCUGAGGAGCGAAAGCUAGGGGAGCAAAC